AUUGAACGCUGGCGGCAUGCCUUACACAUGCAAGUCGAACGGCAGCACGGGAGCAAUCCUGGUGGCGAGUGGCGAACGGGUGAGUAAUAUAUCGGAACGUGCCCAGUCGUGGGGGAUAACGUAGCGAAAGCUACGCUAAUACCGCAUACGAUCUACGGAUGAAAGCGGGGGAUCGCAAGACCUCGCGCGAUUGGAGCGGCCGAUAUCAGAUUAGCUAGUUGGUGGGGUAAAAGCUCACCAAGGCGACGAUCUGUAGCUGGUCUGAGAGGACGACCAGCCACACUGGAACUGAGACACGGUCCAGACUCCUACGGGAGGCAGCAGUGGGGAAUUUUGGACAAUGGCGCAAGCCUGAUCCAGCAAUGCCGCGUGCAGGAUGAAGGCCUUCGGGUGUAAACUGCUUUUGUACGAACGAACGGUGAGCUCAAUAAAGCUUGCUAAUGACGUACCGUAAGAAUAAGCAACCGGCUAACUACGUGACC
rnacentral:rRNA from 1 species